rnacentral:rRNA from 1 species
GACGAACGCUGGCGGCGUGCUUAACACAUGCAAGUCGAACGGAAAGGCCCUGCCUUUGUGCGCUGCUCGAGUGGCGAACGGGUGAGUAACACGUGAGUUACCUGCCCUUGACUUUGGGAUAACUUCAGGAAACUGGGGCUAAUACCGGCUAGGAUCUAUUGCUGCUUGGUGGGCGUUGGAAAGUUUCGGCGGUUGGGGAUGGACUCGCGGCUUAUCAGCUUGUUGGUGGGGUAGUGGCUUACCAUGGCUUUGCCGGGUAGCCGGCCUGGGAGGGUGACCGGCCACAUUGGGACUGAGAUGCGGCCCAGACUCGUACGGGAGGCAGCGGUGGGGAAGAGUGUACAAGGGGCGGAAGCCUGGUGCAGCAACGCCGCGUGGGGGAAGAGGUCCUGCGGGUUGUAAACCGCUGUCGCCUGUGACGAGGCGUGAGUGACGGUACUGGGUAAAGAAGCACCGGCUAACUACGUG